rnacentral:lncRNA from 1 species
GGAGAGGAGAGGGGUGGUGAGCACAGAAAAAGAGAGGAGAAAGAGCUCCCCAACAAUGCUCUAUCCUCACACUCCCACCCAGCACUGGAGACCCUCCAGCCCCAUCCAUUCCUCAAGCCCUAGCUCAAAGGUCACUCUCUUAGUGACUCUUACUUGGUUCCUCCAAACAGAAUCGUCGCUCCCCCUCUGCAUUGCCACCCUUACCACUCAGGACUAUGGUCCCUAGGACUCAGCCCCGUCUUUGGCUGCAGGUCUGAAUUUCCCGGCAGCCAGCAGCACCAUGUGGGAAAGGACUGUGUCCAGUGUGCCCUGUGUCCCAGCUCAGCACGGUGGCUGCCAGGAGGACACACCACCGAAGCCUGCUGCAUCCGUGAAGCCUUUCAUCUCAGACCUGUUUGGGCCAGCUCAUCCCACUUGGAGCUGAACAACAGCCCAGUCAGAGGCAGGAGACCCCCUCUACUCCGCCUUUGCCCCAACCAGCUGUGUGUCCUUAGACAAGUCACUUCAACUUUGGGGGCUUUAUCAAGAGGAUGGACGCAAAUUCCUUCUGCAUUUCUUCCUAAGCUCAGAAUUCCUGAAGACAAAAGAAACUUUAUAUAAGAGUCCAAGUAGAAACCUGAUUCAGCUGCACCUACCUAAAUAGAUUUCCUCCAUGAAUCAAACAGUUCAAGACUUUGAAGAAAAAGGAUUCAGUGGGAAUUUUUUUAAAAAUCCAUUGGACUUUUACCUCUACUGCUGAUUUUCCAGUAAACAACCAAACUCAUUUGCUCACAAGACAACCUUUCUCUGUUCUCUGAUCCCGAGUAUGGCUUGCCCAAAGUUACCAAGAGCUGCAAGUUGCUUUUUCCUACAGCCUCCUGCUCCAUGCAUAUCUAUAACUUCUGUCUUCUUUUAGGGAAAAAAAAAUAUGGAGUUAUAAAAGAGUUUGCUGUGGGGCUAUCUAACCAGCCGUUAAACCAAACAAACUUCAUGACAAAGCAAGAGUUAUGAAAAGAGAUGAAAUGAUUCAUUCUGAGCCUAACUAAACAUUUGAUAGUAGAGUGGAUAAUAUAUCAACACCAUGAGAUUUCAUGUAAACCCAAGAAAUUGGUUAUAUUUCAGCAAUGUUUUAAUAAUAAAUUAAUUUUUAGUCCGAGCCAGUCCAACAGAUUGUGUUUAUCAGUCAGAUGGAGCAUAACUAAUAAAUAGGCCUGCUUAAAUGCCUUUUUAAAUUAUUUGACUACUGCGUGAAGAAACAUGGCCUGGAGCAUAAAUAUGUUGUCAACAGUGACGUUAACGCAGGAUUUCCAUGACUCUCCAGUGUGCAGGGUGCAUCACAGAAGGUUUGUGGCUACUUGGACAGUCAGGCCUGGGUUGCACAGCCACACCAGGCCAAGACCACCUUUGCUUGAGGGAAGGUCUGUUGUGAUGGCUCCCGCUAGGAAAGUCUAGUCAGGAAUUGUAUUCCACGAUCCCGGCAGUUCUGGGCUUUGGAGCAAGAGGAGACAGGUUCAAGUCUAUCUCCACCUCCCAGUAGGCAAGUCACAUAAACUUCCUGAACCUCAGUUCUCUCAUCUGUGAAGUGGGAAUAAUUCACACAUAACAACACAGGGAGGUGGCUACCCACUGGGAAAGAAUACAGGUAAAACCACUCACCCUUGGUGUAAGCACUCCAUAAAUACUAGUUUCCUUCCAUCCAAGCAAAGAUUUUGCUUCCAAAGCCUCUGAAUACCAGGGUGAAUUUAAGAACUACUUUACACUCUUGGUCUGAUGAUUUUGCUGAGGCACGCUGGACUACCAUGUGUUCCUAAGUAAGCUGCUCAGGCCCCCUAUCUAUUUCUCAUUUAUAAGAUCGGAAUGACAUCUCCUUGCCACCCUACUACUGCAUAGGGGGGUCACGAAGACUGAGAUUUUCUAGUUCUAUAAGGAAUGAAGUGCUCAUGCAAGUGUAAGCAGUAACAUGAUUAUCGCCAUCCCUUCAGAUGAAAUUGCAGGUACUGCUUAAAAUUCUAAGGUGAGAAAGAACCUCGUAGAACAUGUAAGCUCUCUUCUGGAUUUUGCCAUUGGCAAGGAACACCUCCUAUGUAGCGCCUCACCAGUGGCCUUCUGGAGGUGAUGGCUAGCGACAAACUUCAGGCCGGUGAGCAAAGAAGAUAGAUACUCAGGGGAAAUGAGGGUCCUCAGAGCAGCCUGAGUCCCCCCAGCCCUUGGGCACACAUCUGCAUUCAAAUGAGCACCAAGAAGAGAAAUAAAAUGCAGACAGUACACAGCUUGAGAAUAGAGCCUACCAGCUUUGCGCGACGGUAGGCCCUCCAAGACUUUGGGAAAGCAACAGCCCAUGCUCCUUCUGUAAGGAGCCACACUUCCCAGCGCCUCGGUGGCCAGGAAGCUCGCCCCUGAGACCUCAGAGCCGAUUGCUGACAUUUUGUUUCCAUUUGAUUGUUUUUAUUUAAUGUCCAGUCCAAGACUAACAACAUGAUACACUUUUAUUUUUCUUCCAGAAAGCAACCAAAUAUAAGGCUUUGCUCAAGGAGAGAAGAUAAAAAAGCCAAAUGUGGCUAUUCUUCCUCAUUAAAAUCUAACGUGUCAAGCUCUAAACCCCAAGGAAGAGGCCGAGAGGCAAUAGCUGGGAGACAUUUAUUGACUAGAGAAAGGCAGUGAUGGAUAGAAAGAGAAGGGUAAUGCGAUUGUGUCUUCCCCAUCUCUCACUAAUGUUUUCCAGGCCUUGCUGUGGGAGCUCCCAUUGCGUCCUGCAAGCGACAUUUGUCAUCCUGUAACCCCAGCUGCCUCCAAAUCGUGCCCCCCUCCUUCAGACCAGGAGGGGUGAGAUGGGGGUCCUCGAAGCACAGUGAAGGC